AGCUGUCCUCUAGGUAUCCUCUAGCUGUCCCCUAGGUAUCCUCUAGCUGUCCUCUAGAUAUCCUCUAGCUGUCCUCUAGGUAUCCUCUAGCUGUCCUCUAGAUAUCCUCUAGCUGUCCUCGAAGGUAUCCUCUAGGUAUUAUCUAGCUGUCCUCUAGCUGUCCUCUAGCUGUCCUCUAGGUAUCCUCUAGCUGUCCUCUAGCUGUCCUCUAGAUAUCCUCUAGCUGUCCUCUAGGUAUCCUCUAGCUGUCCUCUAGGUAUCCUCUAGCUGUCCUCUAGGUAUCCUCUAGCUGUCCUCGAAGGUAUCCUCUAGGUAUUAUCUAGCUGUCCUCUAGCUGUCCUCUAGCUGUCCUCUAGGUAUCCUCUAGCUGUCCUCGAGGUAUCCUCUAGCUGUCCUCUAGCUGUCCUCUUGGUAUCCCCUAGCUGUCCCCUAGGUAUCCUCUAGGUAUCCUCUAGCUGUCCUCUAGGUAUCCUAUAGCUGUCCUCUAGCUGUCCUCUAGGUAUCCUCUAGCUGUCCUCUAGGUAUCCUCUAGCUGUCCUCGAAGGUAUCCUCUAGGUAUUAUCUAGCUGUCCUCUAGCUGUCCUCUAGGUAUCCUCUAGCUGUGCUCUAGCUGUCCUCUUGGUAUCCUCUAGCUGUCCCCUAGGUAUCCCCUAGGGUAUCCUCUAGGUAUCCUCUAGCUAUCCUCUAGGUAUC